rnacentral:rRNA from 1 species
CAGUCGCCGCGGUAAUACGUAGGUGGCGAGCGUUGUCCGGAAUCAUUGGGCGUAAAGGGAGCGCAGGCGGGCACGUAAGUCUUUCUUAAAAGUGCGGGGCUCAACCCCGUGAUGGGAAAGAAACUACAUGUCUUGAGUACAGGAGAGGAAAGCGGAAUUCCCAGUGUAGCGGUGAAAUGCGUAGAUAUUAGGAAGAACACCAGUGGCGAAGGCGACUUUCUGGACGAAAACUGACGCUGAGGCGCGAAAGACAGGGGAGCGAACGGGAUUAGAGACCCCAGUAGUCCCUGUCUCUUAUACA